rnacentral:rRNA from 1 species
GAUCAGGCUCAGGAUGAACGCUAGCGGCAGGCCUAACACAUGCAAGUCGAGGGGCAGCACGUUAAAGAGUUUACUCUUUAUGGUGGCGACCGGCGGACGGGUGCGUAACGCGUAUGCAACCUGCCUGACACAGGGGGAUAAUCCGAAGAAAUUUGGUCUAAUACCCCAUAAUACCGAUAUAGGCAUCUAUGUUGGUUGAAAGCUUUGGUGGUGUCAGAUGGGCAUGCGUUGUAUUAG